CAAUGUGUGUGUAUAUAACUAUAUAUAUAUAUAGAGUGAGAGAAAGAGAGCAUUGAUCGACCGAAAUUAUUACCCAAAAAAUGGAGAGAAUUAGAGUAGUUAUAUGCAGUGGAUGCAACGCACAAACAAGUAGCAAAUUAAGCUAGCAGGCCGGCUAGGCGACAUUAAUUUGUUCAUGCUUAGCCUUAUCAUGCAUAUAUGGACACCCAUUACAAGCUGGGCGCUGGAGCUACAGCGCGGGCGGAACAGUGUCGAGGCGCGCAUGCAUGUAGUACUUGAUCUUAAAUUCCUGAUUCGUGGGUGUGGGGUUAAUUACCAGAACAAGAUAUCAAUACAACCUCAAAGCAAUGUUAUAUAGUAGCGACGACGUCAUGAUGAUGAUCAUCAGAAGAUCAACUGAAAAUCUGUUGAUUCAGACCCUUUUGGUUAUCAUCUGGCCGGCGUGUAUACGCGUCCUCACAGUAGUAGCUACUACUGUUUUAUGAUUUGUACGGCACAAGGACGAAAUCAAGGAGGACCUCUGGUUGGAACUUGGCUUGACCUAGCUUGGGAACAUGUGCCGUGGGUGCAGCCUCCCGCGUACUCCCGCUGCAUACGUACUGAUCAGGCAGCAGGAUUUUCUGGCAAAUUAAUCCAUGCAUAUUCGAUCCUCAUAGCAACAAAAAAAAUUAACACGUACAGUUAUAUUCUUGGAACGAAAUAUUUCUCCUUUGUACUUCAGAAGAUUAAUACAUGCCAUUAUACAUGCAGAAGAAGAGCGUGAUCAGUACUUUAGCCCAACAAUAAGAAAUUAAUUUCAAGAA